GGGGAAGGGUAGCUUGCUACCUGACCUAGCGGCGGACGGGUGAGUAAUGCUUAGGAAUCUGCCUAUUAGUGGGGGACAACAUUCCGAAAGGAAUGCUAAUACCGCAUACGCCCUACGGGGGAAAGCAGGGGGAUCUUCGGACCUUGCGCUAAUAGAUGAGCCUAAGGCCAUAUUAGCUAGGCGCGAGGGGGAAAAGGCCCUACCCAAGGCGACGAUUCUGUAGCCGCGUCUGAACAGGAUGAAUCCCGCCCCCACUUGGGAACUUAAAACCCCGGCCCAAACUCCCUACGGGAAGGGAAUCAAGGGGGGGAAAAAAUCGGCCAAAGGGGCCGAAAAGCCUGAACCCAACCCUCGCCCCGGGGGAGGAAAAAAAGGCCCCUUGGG
rnacentral:rRNA from 1 species